GAGAGCUCUGAUCGGAGCGCAUUAGAAAGUUCGAAAAGUAGGUGAGCGCGGAGGUUGGCCUUGUAGGACUUGCAUACAGUGGUAACAACCGAGUCUUUAUUGUGAAAUGACUGCAUCUUGAUCUUCCCUGCAUCCGCACCUCCAUCGGGUAGUGACACGACAUUGUGCAGUCCAGCCCCAGAGGCCACCGGUGUCUGUGAUGUGGACCUGA
rnacentral:lncRNA from 1 species